CAAUGGCGUCAUAAAUCAAUGUGAAUUUAAUAAAGUUGUAAAAAAAAAAUAAAAUACGAAUUUGGAGGGUAUUAACCCAAUAAUUCAUCCCCUGCAAGUAAGACCCAAAAAGAGGGGCGUUUAAAAAUGGAUGCCCCUGGGCGCCAAAUGGCCUAGCACGGCUCUGUGUACAUGAGAAUUUGUUGCCAACGUUAAAAGAAUUAUUUAGAGCAAUUAUUGUGAGACUAGCAAACUUAACAAUUAUUAUUAACCUAUAGGUACCUAUUUAUUUAUUCAGGACAAAACACAACGAGAAAAAAGGAAUUUUUGGGCGGUGGUCGAUUUGUACGGCCAGUGACUAACCAAACUACAGUACGUUUCACGAAACUAACGACUCCGUAGUGGCGCUUCCGGUGGCAGAUUCUCGUGAGGGUUUCCUAAACGCGUGACUAAAAAAGCGCGGUAAUUUAAAAAUGACGCGGCAAUCGACC